rnacentral:rRNA from 1 species
AUUGAACGCUGGCGGAAUGCUUUACACAUGCAAGUCGAGCGGCAGCGCGGGGGCAACCCUGGCGGCGAGCGGCGAACGGGUGAGUAACGCAUCGGAACGUACCUUGUAGUGGGGGAUAACUAUCCGAAAGGAUAGCUAAUACCGCAUACGCCCUGAGGGGGAAAGGGGGGGAUCGCAAGACCUCUCGCUACAGGAGCGGCCGAUGUCCGAUUAGCUAGUUGGUGAGGUAAAGGCUCACCAAGGCGACGAUCGGUAGCUGGUCUGAGAGGAUGAUCAGCCACACUGGGACUGAGACACGGCCCAGACUCCUACGGGAGGCAGCAGUGGGGAAUUUUGGACAAUGGGCGCAAGCCUGAUCCAGCCAUGCCGCGUGCAGGAUGAAGGCCUUCGGGUUGGUAAACGUUAGCUUUUGUACGGUACGAAAAAGACUACUCUCUAAUACA